CAUGCAAGUCGAGCGCCCCCUUUGGGGGGAGCGGCGGACGGGUGAGUAACGCGUGGGAACGUGCCCAGAGGUACGGAACAACAGUUGGAAACGACUGCUAAUGCCGUAUGAGCCCUACCGUAGCGAUACGGGGGGGAAAGAUUUAUCGCCUUUGGAUCGGCCCGCGUCGGAUUAGGUAGUUGGUGGGGUAACGGCCCACCAAGCCGACGAUCCGUAGCUGGUUUGAGAGGAUGAUCAGCCACACUGGGACUGAGACACGGCCCAGACUCCUACGGGAGGCAGCAGUGGGGAAUCUUGGACAAUGGGGGCAACCCUGAUCCAGCCAUGCCGCGUGAGCGAUGAAGGCCCUAGGGUUGUAAAGCUCUUUCACCCGUGAAGAUAAUGACGGUAGCGGGAGAAGAAGCCCCGGCUAACUCCGUGCCAGCAGCCGCGGUAAUACGGAGGGGGCUAGCGUUGUUCGGAAUUACUGGGCGUAAAGCGCGCGUAGGCGGAUAUUCGAGUCGGGGGUGAAAUCCCGGGGCUCAACCCCGGAACUGCCUCCGAUACUGGAUGUCUGGAGGACGGGAGAGGCGAGUGGAAUGCCGAGUGUAGAGGUGAAAUUCGUAGAUAUUCGGCGGAACACCCGUGGCGAAAGCGGCUCGCUGGUCCGUUUCUGACGCUGA
rnacentral:rRNA from 1 species